GACGAACGCUUGCGGCGUGCCUAAGAAAUGCAAGUCGAGCGAGGAUUCACGCUGACCGAAGCUUCGGCAGAGGUCUUGUGAAGCCUAGCGGCGAACGGUCGCGUAACACGUAAGCAACCUGCCCUGAAGUGUGGGAUAGCCCUCCGAAAGGAGGAUUAAUACCGCAUGUGGAUACGAUGUCGCAUGGCAACGUAUCUAAAGCAGCAAUGCGCUUCAGGAUGGGCUUGCGGCCUAUCAGCUAGUUGGUGGGGUAACGGCCUACCAAGGCGACGACGGGUAGCUGGUCUGAGAGGAUGGUCAGCCGGAUUGGGACUGAGACACGGCCCAGACUCCUACGGGGGGCAGCAAUUAGGAAUCUUGCGCAAUGGGGGAAACCCUGACGCAGCGACGCCGCGUGAGCGAUGAAGUCUUUCGGGAUGUAAAGCUCUGUCCUGUGGGGAAGAAGAAUGUGACGGUACCCACAGAGAAAGCCCGGCUAACUACGUGACC
rnacentral:rRNA from 1 species